CAGCCAGCAUCAGGUACCUGGGAAUGAGGAAGGAAAGACAGGCAGAUGGCAGAGGGGCCUGUCAACUUCUCCUUUUCACCGACACUCACGCCACUCUUUCAUUUGCAACCACAGAAUACCUAACUGCAAGAACUGCCGCAUCCCUGGUGGUCUGACCGUGUCUCUGAGCUAAGCAGCAGAUUUCAGCCACAGGGUCUGACUCUCAGGCAGACACAUCCUGUCCAAGGACUGGAGACAGAGCAUCCGUUCUCCCACCCGGAGCAGUCAGCUGCAUGUGGCCGGUUGGGGGCGGUUCAGAAAUGUCCCAAGAGAAAUGGAAAUAUGAUGGCUAGUUGAUUGUUUCGCAGUCUGCAUGACAGACCACCCUCCUAACAAGACUCUAGGUCAAGUGCUCUUCUCUGCCCUGUGGAUCUAUUGGGGAGAAAUUAGCUCUCGGUGGUAUUUCCAAUUAUGGAGAAAAGCGAUUCCUCCCUGGUCUGGCUAUCAUGUGUUUUGCAGUGGACCAAGAGACAUGAAGCCCGUUUUCCACCCUCGCCUCUUUCUCCAUCUCGCUGCAUGACCUUGGGAGGUCGCGUGACCUCUCGGCUUCUUUGCUGUCUCAUCUGUCAUGAUCCACCUUUACUACUUCAUAGCCAUGUUCUAGGAUAAAUAAGAGAAGCCCCUACAUCUUUUAGUCUCCCAGAAAGAUGCGAACCAGUGAUGAGUUCCAUGAAGACAAAGACCUGCUUAUCUUGUUCUACUCCAGCACUGAGCAGGUACUCCAUAAGAACCUGUAGAAUUAGUGGAUAGAUGGAUAGAUGAACAGAUGAAUGGAUGGAUUUACAGAUUAAUAGAUGGAUGGAUAGAUAGAGGGAUAGAUGGAUGGAUGAUGGAUGGGUAAGUGGGUGGAUGAUAGACAAGUGGAUAUGAUAGAGGGAUGGCUGAUUGGAUGAAUAGAUGGAUGGAUAGAUGGAUGGAUGAACAGAUGAAUGGGUGGAUAGAUGUUCAUGGGUGGAUAGAUGAACAGAUGGAUGGGUGGAUAGAUAGAUGAAUGGAUAGAUGGAUGGAUAAAAGGAUACAUGACAGAUGGAUAGAUGGAUGGAUGAAAAUGGAAGGAUGGCUGGAUGGAUGAACAGAAGGAUGGAUGAAUGGAUAGAUGAAUGGGUGAAUGUAGUUUCUAUAUGAACAUGAAUCACAUUACCAGUAUUUAUCACUGAGAGAAAGUUCUAAGUUGCAGAUGUUCAGAGAAAUUUAGAGAUGCAGACCUAAGAUGCAGGCCAGAAGGGCCAUGCUAUCUCUAAGUCCCUGGGUAGAAUCCUUCCUUGCCUCUUCCUAGUUUCCAAUGGUGGCCAUAAAUUCUUGGUGUUCCUUGGCUUGUAGUUGCAUCUCUUCACUCUCUGCUUCCAUCACCACAUGGCCUUUCUCCCUGUGUGCCUCUGUCCACCCAUUGUUUUCCCUCUUCUUAGAAAGACACCAGUCAUAUUGGAUCAAGGGCCUACUCUACUCCAGUAUGACCUCCUCUUAACUAAUUAUAUCUGCAACAACCCUGUUUCCCAACAAAGUCACAUUCUGAGGUGUUGAGAAUUUGGAAGUCAACAUAUCUUUGGCAGGGGACACAAUCCAACCCAUAACAAUCUGUGACACAGCAACCCCUCUCCCGGGUGUGUAUCCUGGGGAAACUCCUGAAUAGGAUCAUAAGAGGACAUGUGUGAGAAUGUUGGUGGUGAACAAGUUUGUCCCAGCAAGGAGCCCAAGGUGACCUACAUGUCUGUGACUGGAGGAAAUGAGUCAGCCAGAUUUGAUACAUGCAGAUGAUGAAAUAAUACACAAUACCCUGAAUUUGCAUACAUCAUCAUGGAUAGAGCUUAAAAAUACAGUGUGAAAUGAAAAAAGUAGGAACUAGACUGAGAUUGAUGACACAAUACCAUGGACAUAAAUUUAAAAUAUACACUCACAGAGCAAGACUAUAUAUGUUUCAUAAGCAUUGGAAAGUGGGUUGGAAGGAUUUAUUUUGAAGAUACUGGAGUCACUGCUUGUGGGAGGCAGUGAGAAAUGCUAACAGCAGACGCAGGCGAAAAAUAAUACAAGAAGGCACAAGGGGGGCCUUGAACAGACAAAUAGUGAAUGUGUGGCAUAAACUGAGAAGUGUGAUUCUACGAAGGCGCCCACCCGGGGUCCAAAUUUUGCAAAGAGGGGAGGAAUCAGGAAAGGGAUUAAUGAGUGACAGUGGCGCCCAGGGCUGGGCGGAGUCCAGGUCCUGUGAGCAUGCGCAGCAAGGCCCCUUGAUCCACGCUGAGCUUCAAGGAAGAGUGCGGAGAAAACCGCCCUAAAUCCAGACCUGGAGGGGAAUUGGAGCUGUGCAGGUCAAGAAUUAAGCAGACAGGGCCUAGCAGAAGGAGCGGGAUGGUUAAUAAGCCCCCAAGAGAGCCCAGGCUGGAUCAAGUGCAUCGCCUGGGGAGAAGGAGAAGGGUACGGUCCGCAUGGCCCCGCUGAGGAAGGAGUGGGGACAGGGCUGGCUGUGUGUGUGUCACCCACUCAGACGCCCACAGGGACCAGGUGGCGGAAAUGAACGAAUGACCCAGGCGCAUGCUAAACACUUCCACAAAUAAUGAUGGGCCUUUCUAUAUUUAAGAAACCCAGGGCCCCCCCCCAAGUCUGUAUUUCUUUUCCUCCCCUUUGAUAGAGACACGGGGGCUGGCUUCUUCUUUAAGAAAAACAAUAGCGGCGUGUGAUGAGAUGUGGUAGCCAACUCAGCCAUGGGGGAGACAUUAGAGGGGUGGGGCUUGGGGAGGACAGGAAGGGGAUGUCCCAGCUCAGCGGGAGGGCUGCUGCCCGGUAGCUUCAGAGGAUGCCUCCACCCGAAUGUGGUCCCGACGUUGACAGAUACUUCCUUUUCCAAGAGAAACUGUGAAACUGGAUUUUUAUUGGAAAUCUUUUUAUUUGACAUAGUAAAAUCUAACUGAACGACAAUGAGGUACCACAUCACACCCACUAGGAUGGAUAUAAUAAAAUAGAAUGGAAAAUAUGAAAUUUUGACGAGGAAGUGGAGCAGUUGGAACCAUUGUACGUUGCUGGUGGGAAAGUAAGGUGACCCACUCACUGUGGAAAAGUUUGGAGGUUCCUCAAGAAGUUAAACAUAGCGUUAUCAUAUAACCCAGCAAUUCCACUCCUGGGUAUAUGCCCAAAAGAGUUGAAAGCAGGUACUCUACAUGAAGACAAGUACAUCUACAUGCAUGUUCCUAGCAGCACUGUUUGUGAUCACCAGGAGGUGGAAACAACCCAAAUGUCUGUCAUCAUGUAUGCUACAAUGUAACUGAAUCUUGAAAACGUUAUGCCAAGUGAAUGAAGCCAGACACUAAAAGUCAUACAUUGUAUGAUUCCAUUUAUAUGAAAUGUCCAGAAUAGGCAAAUCCAUAGACGAACAGCUGAGGAAAGGGUUGCCAGGAGUUGGAGGGAGAAGGGUAUGGGAGUGAAUGAGUGCUGGGUAAUGGGUUUCCUUUUGGAGUAAUGAAAGUGUUUUGGAACUAGAUAGAGGCGAUGGUUACACAAGAUUGUGAAUAUUCUAAAUGCCACUGAAUUGUUCACUUUAAAAUGCUUAAUUUUUGCCAGCACAGUGGCUCAUGCCUGUUAUCCCAGAACUUUGGGAGGCCGAGGCAGGAGGAUCACUUGAGGUCAGGAGUUUGAGACCAGCCUGGCCAACAUGGUGAAACCCCAUCUCUACUAAAAAUACAAAAAUUAUCCAGGCAUGGUGGUAUGUGCCUGUAGUCCCAGCUAGUCAGGAGGCUGAGGCAGGAAAAUCUCUUGAACCCAGGAGGCGGAGGUUGCAGUGAGUCAAGAUCGCAUCACUACACUCCAGCCUGGGUAACACAGUGAGACUUGAUAUUAAAAAAAAAAAAAGAAAAACAAAACAAAAACAAACAAACAAUGCUUAAUUUUUGCCAGGUGCAGUGGCUUAUGCCUGUUAUCCCAGAACUUUGGGAGGCUGAGUCAGGAGGAUCACCUGAGGCCAGUUCAAGACCAGCCUGGGAAACAUAGCUAGGGCCUGUCUCUAUUGGGGGAAAAAUAAAAUGCUUAAUUUUAUAUUAUGUCGAUUUCACCUCAAUUUUUAAAAAACUGGAAAAUGUAAUUUAAAUAUUUAAGGAAAAACAUGUCAGCCAAAUGGAUUCAGGCCGCAGGCUGCAUCUGAACCCCUGGGGUGCCAGUUUCUAAAUUUGAUAUGGGGCUUACAGUCAGCAGGAGCCCCAUAAUCUUGUACAGAGCUGCAGGAUUAGGAACUGUUUUACUGGCAGGGAAACUGAGACUCCAAAGAGGUAAAGUGAUGGGAUCAGAGUCAAGUGCAGGAGCUGGGGCUGAGCCCCAGAGGGUGAUCUCCCAGCACAAUUGAUCCUGUGCUCCCUGCAGUUGGGGCCAAGGGCUGUGGAAAGCAUUAGAAAGGUGGCAGCUAUUGAAGCAGGUGGCAGAAGGAGGAUGCCUGGAAGUUCAGACAAGAACUGUGCAUCGAAGCCGGGCACGGUGGCUCAUGCCUGUAAUCCCAGCACUUUGGGAGGCUGAGGUGAGUUGAUCACUUGAGGUCAGGAGUUCAAGACCAUCCUUGCCAACAUGGUGAAACUCUGUCUCUACCAAAAAUAUAAAAUAAUUAGCCGGGUGUGGUGAUGCACGCCUGUAGUCCCAGCUACUUGGGAAGCUGAGGCAGGAGAAUCACUUGAACCCAGGAGGCAGAGGUUUCAGUGAGUUGAGAUUGUGCCACUGCACUUCAGCCUGGGUGGCAGAGUUGAGACUCUAUCUCAAAAAAAAAAAAAAAAAAAAAGAACUGUGCAUCCAGAUCUCCUUGGAGUUGUUACCUCCUCUCACACAAGGCCCAGAAAACUUUCUAUCAAUUGAAGCCAAUUCAGCAAGGCUGGAUUGAGUAUGUACUGUGCAUGUGGCAUGCACCACGUGAAAUUAAUAAAAGUAGUCAGUGCAAAGCGCAUUCUGUUGAGACCUCCUCUGAUGCUCAGGGUAAUGCUGUGAGGUGGAAACAGCAUUGCCACAUGGAUUGCAUGCAUGCAUGCAUUUAACUUUUAUACCAUGCAUGCAUUUAACUUACAUAAUGCAUGCAUUUAACUUACACAAGUUCAACUAACUGCAGUUGGCCAAAAGGAAAGGAGAAAAAUCCUCAUUGAAAGGGGGUGGACCUGUCGUGUCCCAGUGUGAACUUGCCACACAGGAAGCAUGGAAAUGGAAUAUAUGGAUCUGUUCUCAUUGUCUCCAAUCCUGGCAGCCUUUCCUAGAAUGAGCAGCUCUCUGUGCUGAGUGGGAUUCAAGCUGAGGAUUUCUCAGCCUUGGCACUACUGACAUUCUGGGUUGGAUCAUUAUUAGUUGUGGGGACUGUCUAGUGUGUUGGAGGAUGUUUAGAGGCAUCCCUGGCCUCCAUCCACUAGAUGCCAGGAUCGUUUAUUCCUACCCCUAGUUAUGACGACCAAAAAUGUCUCCAGGUGCUGCCACACAUUCCCUGAGGGGCAAAAUCGCCCUGGCUGAGAAUCCCUCAUCUAGAGUUCAAAAUGCGUAUUUAUUGGUGCUCAACUAAGGAGCAGGAUUGGAGGUGGGGGAUGGGGAGGAUGGGGAGGUGGGUAAAUGGCUGCAUUAUGAUGAUAGUAUUAUUGUUACAGAAAAGGGGUCCCAAUCCAGACCCCCAGAGAGGAUUCUUGGAUCUUGCUCAAGAAAGAAUUCAGGGCGAGUCCAUAAAGUGAAAGCAAGUUUAUCAAGAAAGUAAAGGAAUAAAAGAAUGGCUACUCCAUAGGCAGAACAGCCUCAAGGGCUGCUGGUUGCCCAUUUUUAUGGUUAUUUCUUGAUGAUAUGCUAAACAAGGAGUGGAUUAUUCAUGCCUCCCCUUUUUAGACUAUAUAGGAUAACCUCCUGACGUUGCCAUGGCAUUUGUAAACUGUCAUGGCGCUGGUGGGAGUGUAGCAGUGAGGUCGACCAGAGGUCACUCUCGUCACCAUCUUGGUUUUGGUGGGUUUUAGCCGGCAUCUUACUGCAACCUGUUUUAUCAGCAAGGUCUUUAUGACCUGUAUCUUGUGUUGACCUCCUAUCUCAUCCUGUGACUUAGAAUGCCUUAAUCAUCGGGAAUGCAGCCAUUUUUACCCAGCUCCUAUUCAAGAUGGAGUUGCUGUGGUUCACACGCCUCUGACAUUAUGACAAUUUGCUGACACUUGUGGCUGUGCCAUUCCUUGUGGAAGGGGGCAGAGUUAAGGGAUUUUCAUGGAAAUGUUUUCCUUCACCUUGACUUUAGAAUCUAGUACCCAUAUACACUCACUGCAACUCAAGUCCCACAGGUGAGAAAAUGGGGGCCCCAGGGAGUAAGUCACUUGCCUAAGGUCUCAGAGUUCAUGAGUGACAAAGAAGAGAUUCAAGCCCAAUCUACUUUACUAGGAAACCCACUCCCUUCUUUCCCCCCUUUUUUUUCUUUCCCUUCUCUCAUUGUUUUGCCUUCCUGUCCACAAGAGGGGUCUAAGGGAAAUCAGCGUGCCAGAAGGUAGAGUCUCACCACAGACUCUCCACUACUGCACGUGGCACUGAGUGUCAUCGGCCUGCCUCACAGUUCUUGAUGAGGCCAGAGGUAAAUUCAGAUUCCAAAGGUUUAUGAAGCUGGUAUUACUUAGGACUUCUAGCUGCAAGAGACAAAAACCUAAUUCAGACUAGCUCAAGCCAAAAAGGAACGAUAUUGACUCACAUAACUAGCAAGUUGAAGGGGUGAUGACUUCAGGCAUGGCGGGAUCAAGGGGCUCAAAUGGUCAUCAGGACACGAUCUCUCCAUUUUUGGUUUCAUCUCUGUUAGCUUCAUUCUCUGAACAACUCUUCCUUCCAUUAUACAAAGAGAGCCAAUGGCAGCACUGAGUGUAAAACUUGACCUUUUAGAAAUCCGGCAGAAAGAUUUCCUCCCUCCUAAGAGAUUCAUCCACCAUUCCUGAAAUUCACUCUGAUUGUCCCAUGGAUGUUUCCAAAAAUGAAUCACUAUGGCCAGGGGCAUAUGAGACCCCACGAUCAGGCCUGGGCCACCUCCUCACUUCCAGAGUUUGACAGCAAGUUGAGCCCCAAAUCUUACGGAAAAAAGAGUGGGAGGAGGAAGAGCAGUAUUCUGUGGCCAACCUAGAAAACCACAGAAAUUCCUCCCACAUACUGCUCAGGCCUGUGGGAAAUUUGUAAGACAGAGUCCCAGUCCAUGUGAGUGGCGAGUGGGGGCAUCUUGGGAGAAGCCUUCUAAAGGCAAAGCCAGGCUGGCUUGGUGGAGUCCUUUCCAGAACCCAUCUGCUUGUGUAAAGCCUAGCAGAGGCCACCUUCAGCAGCCCUCCCGCAUACUGGUUAAAAUGUUGUUGUUGUUGUUUUGUUGUUGUUGUUGUUUGAGACAGGGUCUCACUCUGUCACCCAUACUAGAGGGCAGUAGUACAAUCUCGGAUCACUGCAACCUCCACCUCCCGGGUUCAAGCGAUUCUCCUGCCUCAGCCUCCUGAGUAGCUGGGACUACAGGCAUGUGCCACCAUGCCCGGCUAAUUUUUGAAUUUUUGGUAGAGAUGAGGCUUCACCAUGUUGGCCAGGCUGGUUUUGAACUCCUGAUCUCAAGUAAUCCACGCUCCCUGGCCUCCCAAAGUACUGGGAUUACAGGCAUGAGCCACUGUACCUGGACUUAAAGUGGUUUUUAAAAAGUGCUGUGUGAAACUUCCAAACAGUACUCAUGGGGAAGGAAAUGAAAGGAGAGGACUGGGGAGGAAACACCUUCUAUUUUUUUUUUUUAGAGACAGGGUCUUGCUCUGUCACCCAGGCUGCAGCCUGAACCUCUUGGGCUCAAGGGAUCCUCCCACCUUAGCCUCCUGUGUAGCUGGGACCACAGGCGUGCACCACCACACCCAGCUAAUUUUUUUUAUUUUUUGUAGAGAUGGGGUCUCUCUAUGUUGCCCAGGCUGGCCUCAAACUCCUGGGCUCAAGUGAUCCUCCCUUCUUGGCCUCCCAAAGUACUGGGAUUACAGGGGUGAGCCACCUCACCUGUACAGCUUCUUUGGAGAAUGGGCCUGGGCAGGUAAAACAGGGGCCACUCUACACCAUCAUGGCACAGCAAGAGCUGGGCUAUGUAGGUUCAGUACACUUUGUCAUUGAAUCCUUGUGACAACCUCAUGUCAUCAUUGCUGUUUUACAGAUAAGGAACUGAGGCUCAGAGAGGUUCAGUGUCACGGCUAGCAUUUCACUUACAUUUCACAGACAGCAAAGUCUCUCUUUGUCCAGAGACAACGUGCCCUUAGGUGAUAGAGCUAGGACUGGAACCCAAGUCUAUCUGAUUCAAAGUCCCCCAUCCCGCAGGGACCUCUCCACGCUAGUGAGCCCCAUGAAACCUCCUCAGUGCUUCGUUCCAGUCUUUUAACUUCAAGCCCAGUCAGCGAGUUCUUUAUUUCCACAAAUGGUGCUAUUAAACUAAUGGCUUCAGGAACUAUAGGCUGGCCUCGGCACAGUUACACAUCUCUCCACCCCCCAUGUUCUGGCUUCCAAAGAAAUACACUGGAAAUUCCAGGAGCCGAAGCCUAUUUGGAAACGUUUCCGGGGCACCAUUUUGCUUUGGGACGGGCAAAGAGAGACACCCUAAACUUGAACUCCUGUCUGUGUAGCCUCCAGCCAGCCGGGCGCUAAAUAAGGCCAUGGCCCGUUUUCUCCUUCAAAAGUCCCUUGUAAAGGGUGGUAGCAGACCCCAUCGGGCAAAAAGCUGAGAAGCCAGGGUUGAAAUAGAGGCCUCUUUCUGUUUGGUCAAUCAGCAGCUGCAAAGGAUGCGUAGGAUGGAGCUAAAUUUAUCUGUUCCUUUCUUUCUCAGCAACAGCGACGAGGCCCGAGGUGCAGCUGUCUCGCCUCGCCUGUCUUUUGCAGGCACCGGCAUGCACAGAAGAUGGCUGUCCGGGAGGAAGAUUCCUUUCCAUUUUGUUCGCUCCCUGCCUCCGCAAGGCUCCCAGCCACCUCUCGGGAGUGCAGAGCAAGAUCCUGUGCCAGGGGGUAGGAAUCUGUAGCUGCCUCCCAGCCCCAGGGUGGAAAUCAUGACCUUUGAGAAGCAGGCAAGCUGCACGGCAUAGAUACUCAGGCCUGGUGAAGGCAAAGUGGGGCCACACCCUAGAAAAACCACAAAAGUCCCCACAGCCUCUGCUUUCACUAGUCAGACCUGUGGGAAACUUGUAAGACACAGUCCAUGUGAUCGGCGGGCGGGGGCAUGUUGGGAGGGGCCUUCCGAAGGCCACAGCCAGGCUGGCAGGGCAGAGUCCUUUCCAGAAUUUAUCUGUUUGCUUAAAGCCCAGCGGAGGGGCCACCUUCAGCCAACCCUCCAGCAUACUGGUCCAAGUAGUUUUUUCAAAGUGCUUUGUGAGACUUUCAAAAGGUACCCAUGGGGAGGGAAGUGAGAGGAGGAGGAGGGGACGGGGAAGAAACAGCUUCUUUAUUUCUAGCCUUGCUUGAAUGGCUUCUUGACGGUUACUGCUCCAGUUUUGCUGAGUCAGAAGAAUCCCACAGCCGCUCACCGGAAACACAGCUGUUGGGCAAAAAUAACCACAGAGCUGAGCAUCAUGCACCUUCCAGAAAAGAUGGCAGGAAACCUCAAAACAAAAGAGAAAUACAAAACAAUAGGAGACACUGUCAAGAGAAAAAAAAAAAAAGCAAAAAAACCACCGCAGCUCACUAACCGAUCCAAGCUGAUGGCGCUCUCCUGAUCUCUCUCCACUCCCAGGCCCAGCAAUGGCUCUGAAAUAAAGCUAAGUUUGGCUGCUUAUAUAUAUAUAUAUUUUUUUAGAUAGAGUCUUGCUCUGUCGCCCAGGCUGGAAUGCAGUGGCACGAUCUCGGCUCGCUGCAACCUCUGCCUCCUGGGUUCAAGCGAUUCUCCUGCCUCAGCCUUCCGAGUAGCUGGGAUUACAGGUGCGCCACCACGCCCAGCUAAUUUUUGUAUUUUUAGUAGAGACAAGGUUUCGCCAUGUUUGGCCAGGCCGGUCUCGAACUCCUGACCUCAAGUGAUUCACCCACCUCGGCCUCCCAAAGUCUUGGGAUUACAGGUGUGAGCUAUCACAUCUGGCCUACUUUUACACUGUAGUGGGUUUAAUAGUGUCUCCCCAGUCACACCUCCACCAAAAAAAGAAAAGAUAUGUCUACAGUCUAAUGUGCUUCAGCACCUGUGAAUGUGACCUUAAUGGAGAAAGGAUCUUUGCAGGUGUAAAUUAAUUUUAGGAUCUCAAGAUUGAAUCAUCCUAGACUACCUGGGUGGACCUCAAGUCCAAUGACAGGUAUCCUUAUAAAAGCAAGGCAGAUCCAGCUUGGGUAACAUGGGGAGACCCUGUUUCUACAAAUAGUUAAAAAAAAAAAAAAAAAAAAAAAAAAGGCUGGGCAUAGUGGCUUACACCUCUAAUCCCAGCAUCUUGGGAGUCCAAGGUGGACAGGUCACUUGAGGCCUGGAGUUCAAGACCAGCCUGCCCAAUAUGGCUUAACCCCAUCUCUACUAAAAAUACACAAAUUAGCUGGGCAUGGUAGUGCAUGCCUGUAGUCCCUGCUACUUGGGAGGCUGAGACACAAGAAUCACUUGAAUCCGGGAAGCAGAGGUUGCAGUGAGCUGAGAUCGUGCCACUGUACUCCAGCUUGGGCAACAGAGCAUGACUCCAUCUCAUAAAAAAAAAAAAAAAAGCUGUGGGGGACAGUGGUGUGUGCCUGUGGUCCCAGCUACUUUUGAGGCUGAGACAGGAGGAUCUCUUGAGCCCAGAAGUUCGAGGCUGCAGUGAGCUAUGAUAGCACCACUGUACUCCAGCCUGGGAGACCAAGUGAGAUGCUGUCUCAAAAAAAAAAAAAAAAAAGAGUGUGGCAGAGGUAGAUGGGUAGAUUAGACGCACAGAGAGGAAGGCCAAGGGGAACUUGGAAGUGAGGAUUGGAGUUUUGCAGCUACAAACCAAGGGUGUUAGGGCACUCAUAAGAAACUAACAGAGCCACCCCGGGCUUCUGUUUACCAGGUCCUCCCCUGGCCAUCUCCUUCCCCUUGUCUGGGCUGAAAACUUUCACAGCAUCUUGUUUGCGUGGACACCAAGUUUCCCUUUCCCCAGACUAAUGAUCAGGAAGCAGGAUGGGGCCUUGAGUACUCCCGAGACUAAGGGAGGAGUUGAGGGUCCCUGGUUGUAGAUAAGUCUCGGCCACAGGCCAGGAGUGUGACCUCAUUAACCAGCAGCCAUUCACUGACGCAGCUGGAUCCUGGUUCUGCCCCUUACUAGCUGUGUGGCCUGGGGUAAGUAAGGUAUUUACCCUCCCUGGGCCUCUGUCUCCUCAUCUGUCCAAUGGAGAUAAUUAGAAAAUUUCCCUUACACAGUUGUUGUAAGGAUGAAGUGAGUACAUGCAAAGCUAUUCUUGAACAAGGCUGGACUCUGUGGUUCUUAUUGUCCAGUGCUUUACCCAAGUGUAGUAAGGCUAUUGUUUUUCCCUGUCAGCAUCUAUGACACUAUCUUUUGCUUCAGCAUCCUGGCUUGCCUUCGGGAGACCAUCUCUCUUCCACCCCCUCAUUCCAGGAGAGGGUAUAUCACCCAGACCUCAGCAAUCAGACUCAGAGCUCAGUUCAGGGAUGGGGAUGUGAUCCAAAGUGGGUCCAUCAGAGUAAAUAGUUGCCGAAACUCAUAGGGAAAAGAAAUUCACUUUCUCUUGGUUCCACUAUGUGGUGGGAUAUGAGCAUGGAGCAUCUCUGCUGCUACCUAGGGAGAGGCUGCCUGAGAGUGAUGCCAAAACCCCAGAAAGCAGAGAUAAACGAUAGUGGGAGAGUCCUGACAACAAUAGUUGUAUCCCUGGAUCCAGCUGUGCCUGAAACCAUCUGUAGCUCCAAACUCGCAAGUUCCGUGAAACAAUAAAUCUUCUUUAUGUUUAAGAUAGUUUGAGUUGAUCACUUGUAAACAAAGGCAUCCUGACUCAUGCAGUAUCUUAUGUGAUAAUCUGAGCAGGAGGUAGACCUCUUAUCCUUAUUUUAUGAGAAGAAACUGAGGCUUAGAGGAACUUAAUCACUUGCAUAAAAUCACUAGUAAGUCCAGGGCUGUCAUCUGAUCCAUGUAGCCCUGGGAAGGUAGAGCGAUGAUGUGUUUGGUGCAUGCCUUGGGAAAGUCACAUAAAUCUCAAGGCUUUGAGUGGCCAAUCCAUACCAUAAAAGAGUUGGUAUAUUUUUAAACUUUUAAAUGUAUAGCCGAUUACAAAAUAACUAUGACUAUUAACCAUGUAUUUGCUCUCCAUAACUGAAAACUGUUGGCAUUUUGUCACAGUUGCUUCAGAGAUGAGCUGGUAUCUGAAAUACUAUAUAGCUCCUUGUUUCUGUGUCUUGAUUCUAGAUUGUAAACUGCCUGGAAAGUCUGACUCGGCAAAACUUGAAAAAAUUUCAAAGAUAUAGAAGCAUUUUAUAUCUACUCACUUAUUUGUGGUUUCUGGCAUUCUUCAUUUCUUAAAUAGAUCUGAGUUUUCACCCUUUAUUAUUUUGGCUCAGCCCAAAAAAUAACUUUUUUUUUUUUUUCGAAAUGGAGUUUCACUCUUGUUGCCCAGGCUAGAGUGCAAUGGCACGAUCUCGGCUUACCACAACCUCUGCCUCCUGGGUUCAAGCGAUUCUUCUGCCUCAGCCCCCUGAGUAGCUGGGA